CCUACGGGAGGCAGCAGUGAGGAAUAUUGGACAAUGGACGAGAGUCUGAACCAGCCAAGUAGCGUGAAGGAUGACUGCCCUAUGGGUUGUAAACUUCUUUUAUAUGGGAAUAAAAUGUUCCACGUGUGGGAUUUUGUAUGUACCAUAUGAAUAAGGAUCGGCUAACUCCGUGCCAGCAGCCGCGGUAAUACGGAGGAUCCGAGCGUUAUCCGGAUUUAUUGGGUUUAAAGGGAGCGUAGGUGGAUUGUUAAGUCAGUUGUGAAAGUUUGCGGCUCAACCGUAAAAUUGCAGUUGAAACUGGCAGUCUUGAGUACAGUAGAGGUGGGCGGAAUUCGUGGUGUAGCGGUGAAAUGCUUAGAUAUCACGAAGAACUCCGAUUGCGAAGGCAGUUCACUGGACUGCAACUGACACUGAGGCUCGAAAGUGUGGGUAUCAAACAGGAUUAGAUACCCCAGUAGUC
rnacentral:rRNA from 1 species